UUAAAAUCUCUUCAUUCUCUUAAUAUCAAAUGAUUAUAAUGUAAUAAAUAUUUGUUGUGAGGUAUUGUCAAAAUUGUAUUUGUCAAGAUUUUAAUUUUCCAAGGAUCUGUGUUGUUCUUUUUCUUCUGUCUUUUGUUUGAAUACUCCAGAUAGACAGUGAGGAAAUUUUUAAAAUUGCAUGUAUAUUUUAAUUACAAUAUACAUAAAAUAUUUUACUACUAUUUUGCUUUAACCCCAACAAAUAUGAAAUAUUUUUUAAUGUUUAUUUAAAUAAAGUGAAGUCUGAACACUGAAUUUUGUGUAUAGUAAAUGCACGCAGUUUACGUUAGCAGUAAAUUAGCCCCAAGUGGGAGAAGGCAUGUGUGUGCCUUGCAGUGGUUGGUGCCUAGUGGUGCUGGGGUAGGCAUAACCUCCUAACACCCUGAAAUGGAUUAAGCAGAUUAGAAAAGAAAUGACUGACUGGACGGCAUUAUUUUUAAAGUGGAUAUAGUCUCUUGCUAGAUUUACAAACCGUUCAUGCUAGCGUUGUCCUGGAUUGUCCUUUGUUAAUUAUCUGUAUUUUCAUUUUACCUUCAUUCAUUUUUCACUUUUUUUUAAUUUUGUGUAUAUUUUUCAAACAUUACUGCAGAUGUAUCAUUAUGUAUAGGUUUGGUAACUCCAUUGUGACCACUGCAUCCAGUGUAGACUGAAAAAUUAAACAGUAGAUGCAAACACUCUCUUGCUUUUCUUGUUUCUGCCACAAAUGAAUGUUAUUGUAUAUUAAGUGUUAUGUAAACAAAUAUGAAAUUGCCUGCAUGCCUACACCCAGGAUUACAGAUGUGUACAAACAGCAAUACAUAAGUCUUUAUACACACAUACUGUAUUUUGUAUAUAUUGACCGCAUUGUUUAAAAAUGUUUUAUGUAAUAUGUGUAAUAUUUGAAAAGAGUCUUCAUGUAUAUUUAUUUUUGUCCUGUUCUUAAUGGAACAAUUUUUAUAUUAAAGCAGUAAUCUAAUAUUCAAAAAUAUUUUUUCCAGCGGUUGUGGAUUUGGCAAGAUGUUACAGUAUGGUAUCAUGGCUGUUAGUUUUAUAAAUGUGUUAAUUUGUAUUUGUACAGUGUCACUGUGUGCUUUUUCUGUGAUUGCAAUUGACUUUUACUGUGUUGCUCAAUGAAAAAAAAACAAUCUGUUUUGAUAUUUUAAUUAAAGUAUGUCUAACUGUGCAUUUUA